rnacentral:lncRNA from 1 species
UAAUUUAUUAUUUUAAUUAAUUUGUUAAUUAAAUAAUUAAUUAUUUAUUAGUGUACUUAUUUAAUAACCAAUAUUUAUAUUGAUUAAUUAAUUAAUAUUUUGACUAAUUUAAUUAUCUGAUUGUUAUUAACUAUUUUAUUUAUUAAUUUAUUAAUUAAUAUUUAGGAUUAUUUAGCAAUAUUCAUGAUUAAUUAGUAAAUUAAGUAAGUUGAAUUAUUAUUUAAUCAAUAUUAUUAAUUAGAUAAAAUAUUAUUAUAUUAAAAGUAUAAUUAUUCUUAUCCUUAGUAUUCCAAUCUAACCAUCCAAAUGCUAUUUUGCUUAUUCCCGAGAAAAACCCAAUUUUCAUCCAAAUGCAAAAUUGAUUUUAUCCUUGUUUAUCCCAAGAGUUGUACAUAUCCUAGGGAUAGCCUAAAUAGCUUAUUUCUGAACCAAACGAUACGAAAUUAAGUAUCAAAAUGGUAAUGAAACUGCUAGAAGGUAGUGGUGACCAGCGGCUUACCGAAUUUUCAUUGUGUGUAACUUUCUCAGGGCUCUUUUUCUGUGCAGUGUUGUCAAUGCAAGCGAUAUAGACCUGGUAUUACAGGGAUAUUUCUUAGUUUCAUGCAUGAUAAAGUUCUUGGUUGUGGAAACUCAUGUUGACAGUUUAGUGUCGUUAACGUAGCCCCUUUGUGCUAAAAUGCUAAAGGAUAGAGUCAUAGAACUGUCUUUAAAUUUCUUUACCAAAGGCCCUACUUUGAUGGUGUAAUAAUUUGGAAGUCACAUUUAUUUGUGACAUGAUAUUUUAGUUUUCAAUUUCCACUCCCAUAUCAUUGUUCUUUCUUUUAUAAAUAGCGCAAAGCCUUCGACACAAUUGCAAACAUCGUUUAUUUGGCGUCUUAUAUUGCAAAAUAUAAGUUUUUUCUCAGUAUGGACAAUCCAAUCAGUGGAACCAUUACUCCCUUAAUUUUUGUCUCAUUUACUGCGUUGUCAUCUUGUAUCCCCUCUCAUAAUAGUUUGGAAUUGGUUGUAACUUGUAACCUCUAAUGGGCUGCAGGGCUAACAUGUUUGUUACUCUAAGCAUGCAGUAUUUAGAUGCUUUAUCUAUCAGAAGCUAAAGAAAUACUAGAAAUUUGAUUUUUUAUAUGGACUUAGUUGAAUCCCCCAUCAACAUUGUAUGAAGGUUCAAGGCUUCAUUCGACCUUGAAUGAGAGUGGCAGGCUCUUUCCAGUUUCAACUUUUUAAAAUUUGUUCACUUGAUUGAGUCUCUUGUUUGAUCAAUGAAAACCUAUUAGGGCUAUUUAGUAGUAUCUUUGCAUAAUCUCCAUCUUGGAAACAUGGUACUGGUGAGACAAAACAGGGUUAAUUGUGGAAUCAUUUUCGUAAAGUGGUGGCUGCUUUCGUAAUUAUUUGGACACCACUAUAUGGGAAAGGCAGUAGACUUAUUCUAGGUAGAUUGUGUUUCACCUUUAUUGGAAGUAACUGUCUUUUGGCUGCAAAAAUAAGGUUUUGUUAUUCAUCAGUUUCAUGACCACUAAAUUGAAAAGAUAAGAUUUAGUUUCCCUCUCUAUAUGUAAGCUUUCUGAUAGUUAUGCGUUAAAUCGCAUUACAAAAUGUCAAGGUUGAGAAUGUUACGUCAUAGUAUAGUUCGGAGCUAUCUUUUAUGUGGAGAAUAGUUUAUCUCUUGGAUAAAUAUAAAUGGAGAGGUAGAUGCAUUAUUUCAAUCCUUUUUUUAGCAGGCACUUUUGUUGAUGAGAUAAUGAUUACGCUUAGAUCGGAAGCAUNUUUUUUUUUUAUUUUUGCCUACAUCAAGUGUAAAAUUUUAUCGCAUGGAUCAAUUCUAUUUUUUAAUAGUCAAUAUAACAGAUAAAUAUAAAAUUUUAUUGCAUGGAUCAAUAUUAUUUUUUAAUAGUCAAGAUAAUAAAUUCGUAUGGUUUUUGCCUUUAUUUUUUUGAAUCCUUCCUAUAAUUUAUUCUUAUAUUUUUAUUGCAGCAAUAGUUGCUUAUUUUUUAGUUACUUCUUUUUUAUAUAAUUGCUUGACUCUUUUUUUACUUUCUUUACUCUAUUUAUUUAUUUAUUUAUUUUUAUGAAAUCAUCCCGCCACAACGUGCGGGUCCUUCACUAGUAUAAAUAAUGGUGUGCAUCGUCUAUUCUUCCUAUCAGGUUUUAGUGAUUUGAUAUGCACUCUGCUCUGGGAGUCUCUAAGAAAUUUCUUUUCCUGACUGAUUGUAAAAUAUGGAUGUAAAUUUUUCUUUUUUGAGAAAAUGCAGACUAUUUUGUUAGUCUGUAAUUACAUUGUAAAACUAUAACAUAGUGAUGAUUGUCUUAACAAGCCUUUGAGAUGUAAUAUAGAACAUGUAGUACAUCUGUUAAACAUCUUAACAUAUAUAAUUUGAAUAUUGUAUCUACUAGAAUGCUAUUUGGUAAGCUAAAGAAACUCAGUCAUGUUAUAGUUGAGAUCUUUAAUUUGAAAUAUCUUUUUUUUUAAAAAAAAUUGACCUGCUUUAAUUAUGCUAUGCAAAAGUCACCAUGCAUAGCAAAUUACUAAACUAUGGUAAUUUUCGUAUCAUUUCAUCCGCAACUUUAUGAAAUUAUCCUUCUACUCUUUUGGCUUUACUGUGUGAUAUGGGCCUUAAAUUCUUGCAAAGAUUUAGAAAUUUCAUUUAGGAUGUUUCCUUCUUUUUCAGAUUUUUAAUAUAUCUAGACAGUUGACAAGAGGAUGACAGAAGGAAAAUCUCUUUUGAAUCCGUAUGCCUCUCCCUACAUACCUCUUUCGAGGAAUCCUGCUGGGAAGACCCUAGAGAAAGAGAACAAGGCUGUGGAGAAUGUACCAGACGAUCCGGAAAAGAAAGAGGGUGGUGAUAGGCCUUCAGAGCAUCAUCUCCGGGACUCUCUUUUGGAAGAAUUUGAUAAGCUUAGCUUCUCCGCGGAGUCAUCAUCGAAGGUGGAUCUCUCUUCCGGUUACGAUGACCCAUUUUAUGAUAGUGAGUUUGUGGACGUUGGCGAUCUCGAUAUAGCAGUGGAAUCUAUCUCGCUGAUGUUCCCCAACAUUUCUUUGGACUCAAUUGCUGUGCUGUUGCAUGCGAACGGUUACAAUCCGAGUCAGACGAUUAACGUGCUUGAACAGCUUGAGGUAUGCAAAUUUAUGGUCUUUCAUUUCCUUUACGCAUUAUUUUUCUUAGCAAAAAAACUGCAUGUAAAUGAGUUAACGUGUGCUUCUUAACUCUCUAGUUAUUGCUGCAUUUCGAAUUUAAUAUAGAAGUUUCCGAUUCAUGCGUAAUAUUUAAGUUGUCAUUCUUGAGCAUGUUUUCUAUUCAGAGUUCUUGAUGUUGUCAGGAAAAUUCUCUCCCUGCAACUAUAGCUACUAAAAUGAGGGUUUUACCAAUCACUUACUGGUCGUUUCGGUUUAAAAAGUAGAGUGAUAGAAAAGCCAUCUAACAUGGUGUUUGUUUCAUGCAUCUGUGAAACAACGCUGCUAAUGAACGGCGUUAUAUUUAACUCUCAGUAGCAUCCAAAGUAGUUUUCUGAAGAGGACAAAGUUACAGAUUACAUUGCAAAAAUUUGUUAAAAGAUAAAGUGACUAUUAAAGACCAAAACUACAAUAAGUUUAAAGUUUAUGAAGGAUAGUCCCUGUAUUGGUCACUCAAACGGUCUGAGUCCUUAAAAACUUUCACAUAUAUAUUGCAUUCACACUUUGGUCCCUGAGCAUUAGAAAGCCUCUGAAUUCCAUUCUGAAAUGAUUUUUUCACCAUCUUAGCGGCAAUUUGAAAUAGGUGAGUCAAUUUCACUAGUGAAGGGGUAAAAUGAUCGUUUUCUAAGAAAAAUUAGACCAGGGACCAAAGUGCAAUGCAUGCGAGAACGUUCAGGUACUCGAGAGUGCAAGUGAAAUGAUAUAAGCAUUAAGGAAAUUGCAAUAUUUGGAUAAGUACGACAAUUAUCCGUAUAUUAACAGUUGAGAGCUUUCUUUUGCCGCAAUAACUAAGUUUUCGCAUUCGGUUAACCGUUACAGUACGGAGAUGACGGAUUCGAGGACGUGGCCGAGCCUUCGGAGAGCUGCAGCCAUCUGGACAAUCCCCCUGUUUCUCAGGCAUCCAAGCCUGAAGACAGCUGCGGCUAUGAGGUCUGAAUCUGCGCGAUAAAGAGUCGCAGAUUCGACCUGCUAUCGUAUAUUCGUGUAUACAAGUAUAAUGCCCUUUCGCUCUCAGCAAGUGUUAUCGCCUCGGUUGGGGUGGGUUUCGCUUUCCGAAAAAAGAGACUAGCAAAACAAGAAAGGAAGAGAAGAUUGCCUUGGGUGAGUAUUACAUUUACAUAACAGAUUAAAGAUGGUCCAUUUCUGCUUAGCUGAUGACUGGUGACUCUGUUUUAGGGUUUUUCUUCUUUUAUGUGUGCAUUUGAACUGCGUAGCCGUCUUCUGUACUUGUUAAUUGCUUGUGCAGCUGAUGGUCAUGCUGUGUAGGUUACAGUAUUUGCAACAAAUUGCUGCUCUCUAGAGCUCAAACCAAACUUGGCAAAAAAAAGGAAGAAAAAGAAAUAAAAGGAAAGAAAAAAGGUUCUUGCUUCUCUCUCUCUCUCUCUCUCUCUCUCUCUCUCUCUUAUUUCGCAUCUUUAUUAUCCUAUUUUUCUUUUUCGAAUUUGCUACGAAUUUGCUAUUGCAUUUGAUACGUAUCAGAAAAGGUUUUACACGAUAUGAGAAAAGUUUCUGCACGAAUGUUGUUGAAUUCCAUGUCAGUGGAUGAGACCUUUCUCUAAACAUGGAAUUUAUACCUAUAUCAAUUUUAUUUUAUUUUUUUCCAUCUCAAUCAAUUCAAUUCAAUUCAAUUCUGAAACCCUUUGAAACACUUGUGAUUACACUAUGCUUACUAUUCAAAUGCCAUAUGCAUCUCUCUCCUCAAGUAGAUGGCGUGUCCAAUUUCAUGAUUAGGCCGAAAAGAUAGUCAAAGCAACUUCUGACCUUUUAGAACUGGUGAGUUUAGCCAAAUCAAGUAAAGAUUUUAUCAGAUUGAUUGAUAUUUUUUGAAGAAACAUAAUAUUUUUAAACUAUUUUAUGAGGGACAAAACUGGAUUAAUUAAUUGCUAGUAGCUAGUGUUUCAAUCAAAAUAAUUUAAAUCUGGGAUGGUCUCCAAACAUUUAUACCAAGAUUUUUUUGUGCAACAAAGAAUAUCCCAUAAGCAAAAAGUAGUUUUGCUAGAAAAAAAAAUUUUUUCUCAGAUUUUUUCUCAGAUUUCAUGCGAAAAUGGUGUUUUUGUUUUUUUUUCCAAUUUUUUAUACUAAAAUAAAAACUGUAGAAAAAAAGUAUAUCUUUCACGGAAAGAUUUUUUUUCUUAGAAAACAAUUUUCCACGUUUUUCUGAGAAACCAAUCAGCGAAUAGGAACUAAAAAGAUUCUUUUCCUCAUGGUGAAGUAUACCCAAUAAAGCAAUAACAAACAUUUUACAAAUAUACACAAAUAGAAUUAAAAAGAAGAAGAAGAAGAAGAUGAUGAUUUCCCCAUGAAAGAUCAUGUCUAGUGCUACUAAUUUCCUCUCUUCUGCAAAUAAAAGCCCUUGGAACUGACCACUGAAUCUGUUUUCUCCGACUCUCCUUCUCGUCAUGAUGAACUCUCCAAAUCUCUGUACAGAAUAGGGUUGUUACGGAAGUGAACACGAGCAAGCUGAGACCGGCUCAUAUUCGAUUUUUUAUUAAAUAACACGAACAUGAACUAACUUGUUAAAAUAUCGAGCUGAAGAAUUCAGUCGGCUCGUAUUCGAUUUUUUAUUAAAUAACACGAACAUGAACUAACUUGUUAAAAUAUCGAACUGAAGAAUUCAGUUGGUGUCUGGCUUGUUUAUUAAUAAAUCGAACACGAGCUGGCACGCGAAUAACAAAUUAAAUUAUCAGCCUUAUUACAGGAUUAAGAGCCGAAAGAAAAUUUUAAAAAAAAUAAAAUCUUAAUCUAAUAAUUAAAAUUCACAAAAUAUAAGUCUCUUUGUAAUUGGGUUGACAUAAAAUCCAAAUGGUAGACAUUUGUAACAUAUUCGAGCUAUACAAAUGAAAUGAACCGAACACGAGCAGACUAACCGUUGCAAGCUAAAAAAAUUCAGCUUGUAAUUAAACAAGCAAUUGAUCCCGAACUCAUUUCGAGCCGAACAUGAACUGGCUUGCGAACAGUGAGAGCUGUAUCGCCAGCUACAGAGUCUCAUGAACCCUAAUUGAUAAAGAGAUAACACCCGGAAACCCCUAUUCCGAUCGCACCUUUGAAUCAUGCAGGGACGGAAAUAAAAGAGUUCAUUUCUCGUCGCACGGUACAACUACUUGUUCUCACCUGCAAAUCUUCAUCAAUUGAUCUGUAACUACGAAUUCAAAGCAUAAAACUGUGCCCAGCAUGUAUGUGAAUCUUCGCAAAUCGAACGUACUUACUCUGAUUGACAUGACGAAAUGAAUACACAGAAUCAGCAACCGAUAAGUCGUCCAGAGUCUGCGAUUCAUGACAGUAAGUAUAAAAGUUUACUACUCACUGACGAGAAAUAUCAUCAUCUGAGAAAUUGCUGCCGCUGUCGGACUCUUUGAGCAGAUCUUGCAUAAACUCAAUUCAUUCCCCCUCCAGCAGCAUCUCAUUGUGAAUUCCACGCAUAAAACUUAACCAAAAAUGUAUGCGAAUCUUCGCAAAUCGAACAUACUUACGCACUAAGUUCUUCCAAUCCUUCUGCUUGACAUGACGAAAUAAAUACACAGAAUCAGCGACUGAUGAGUCGUUCAGUGUCGGCAAUUCAUGACAGAAAGUAUAGAAGUUUACUGCUUGCUGACGAGAAAUAUCAUCAUCUAAUAAAUCGCUGCCGCUGUCGGACUCUUCGAGCAUAUCUUGCAUAAACUCAAUUCAUUCCUCCAGUGGCAUCUCAUUGUGAUUUCAAUGCAUAAAACUUAACAAAAAUGUAUGCGAAUCUUCGCAAAUCGAACUUACUUCCACAUUAGGCUCUUCCAUCCUUCCGCUGACAUGACAAAAUGAAUACGCAGAAUUCGUGAUCUGUAAGUCAUUCAGGGACUGUUUGGUUUGUUGAAAAAGUAUGGAAAAAAAAGUUUUUCAUGAAAAAAAAAGCAUUUUUUGAGUUUUCCCAUCCAUUUUGGUUCCAAAAGAACUAACUUUUUUGAAAAAAAAAAGAAUUUCUAUAUUUAAUGGAAAACUAGUAUUUUCAUUUUCUGAAUUUUUCUGUGAAAAACGAAAACACUAAUUUUCUGUGAAAUCUAAAAAAAGAAAUUCCAAAAAAAACUAAUUUUUCUUGAAACCACACAGGCAGAAAACUAAAAAAAAGGAUUUCCAUGAAAAAGUAUUUUUCUCGAAAAUCCUUUCUCCAUACUUUUCUGAGGAACAAAACAGCCCUUCUCAGUGUCCGCAAAUCAUGAUAGAAAGUGUAGAAGUUUAUCGCUGCCACCGUCGCUGCGAACUUCGCCUCAUUUUCAAUCAAGCACCUGAUGUCUCAAAAUUUUGAUUUUAGUAUCUAAUUUUAUAAUAUGCUCGAUUUACUAUGCUCCAAUCAAAACUUAAUGAUGUUUUCGACCAUAUUGUUUCUUUAAAUUCCAGUAGAAUUUGAUAAACUUUUUUGAGAAACUUUAAUAAAUCAAAAUGAAUGUAAGGUUAGGUAGUAAAAUUUAAAUUUUCAAAGUUAUACCCAUUUUCCAAAAUGGGUUAUUGCUAAGUUAUAUGUUAUGAUAAUGAAAAAUCAAAAGGAAAAAAAAUGUUUAUCCUACACAGGAAACUUACACACCACACACACAAAAAAAAAAAACAAAAACAAAAUAUCGAAAUGUACGGAGAUCGAGCAUUUAGAGUAACUACCUGAACUUUCAAAAUUUUGAUUUUACCAUCUAACUUCAAAUAUAUUUUAAUUUUAUAAUUUUUAAAAAAAUUGUCAAAAUUCUAUUAAAACACAAUGGAUUUUUUGUCGCAAUAAUUAUAAAGUAUUUCAUCAAAUACCAUAAUAUGCUGUUUGGUUGCAAAAUAUCCUGUCAAAAAUUCUCAAAAAAAAAAAAAAAAACUUGAAUCAAAUACAAAUCACCAAAAAAAACAAAAAGAAAUAUAAGUAUAUAACAUAAAAUCACUUCAUGCUAAGAAAACAAAGACCAAUAUAAAUCGCAGUUCAUUUGCUAAAAAAAAAAACUACAAAGUAAUUUCUUAAAAAAAAGUAAAAAUAUACAGAACUUACCAGAACUAUGAAUCAUUUUGAGUUUAAUUACCUAAUCUUUCAAAAUUUUAAUUUUACUAUCCAACCUUACCAAUUUGCCAGAUUUGAGUCUGACGAAUUUGAAUCUGCCGUUUACUUUUAUAGAUUUAGUUAGUAUAUUUUAUACAAUUCUCGUAACUAUAAAUUCAUUAAAGUAAGUAAUCGGCUUAAAUUUUGAAAUCAAAAUAUCGUUGACUGACACAAAUCAAACAAAUCAAACAAAUUAAAAAGCUGGAUAAUAAAAUCAANAGUAAAAAUAUACAGAACUUACCAGAACUAUGAAUCAUUUUGAGUUUAAUUACCUAAUCUUUCAAAAUUUUAAUUUUACUAUCCAACCUUGCAAUUUGCCGGAUUUGAGUCUGACGAAUUUGAAUCUGCCGUUUACUUUUACAGAUUUAGUUAGUAUAUUUCAUACAAUUCUCGUAACUAUAAAUUCAUUAAAGUAAGUAAUCGGCUUAAAUUUUGAAAUCAAAAUAUCGUUGACCGACACAAAUCAAACAAAUCAAACAAAUUAAAAAGCUGGAUAAUAAAAUCACAAUUUUGAUAAGCCCUAAAAUUAAAAUUUAAAAAAAUUUAAAAAAUUUAAAAUCUCCUCAGAUGUCUCUUCAUCUCCACACACACUUCCACAUAACAGCAUCUGAGAUGAUGCUACUGCUGCUUUCGGAAAUUGGAACGAUUUUUGGAAGCAAACAGGGUAAGAAUAAUUCAUCAUCAUAGGAGGAAUCGUAGUAGUAGUAACAAUAAUAAUAAUAAUAAUUGACAAAAAAAAAAAAAAUCAAACCCUAAUGCUUCAUAAAAAAAAAUUAAUGGGCGAGAAAAAAGGGUAAAUUAGUGAGGAUGAAUCAUGAAUCAGACCUUCAUGAGAAUCUGGAGGGAGAAGAGGAGAGAAAGGAGCGGCGACGCGUGCGAAUGGUGUAUUCGGGAGCUCCAUUUCUAACCCUAACCCUAACCCUAACCCUAACUUAGCUUUUGUUUUCUCCUAAGAGGUAUUAAAUUUUUGUCACGAAAAUGAGUUAAGACAAAAGCAUAAACAAAACUGUAAACAUAGAUUUUUUUUUUUUUUGAGAUAGGUAGCACGCCAUCCGCUUCGUUUAUUUCAUUUAGAAAUAAAUUUAGCUGGAAAUGUGAAUCAACUAGGAUUCGAACUUGGGUCUCGGGUACCAACCACCAAACCCUUUGCCACUUGCUCUAGGGACGGUCGGUGUUUGGCCAAGAUUUUUAAAAAUAAGGAAAAACUUCAAAUACCAUCCCUAGCAUUUUUUUUUAUUUUAUUACCCUGUGAUUUAAAGUGUAUCAAUUUGGUAUUCAGUGAUUUAAUUUUUUUCUCUUUUUAUUAUUAAUUCUACUAAUUUUUUCAUUAAAUCAGUGACAAUGUUAAAACUAAAGGAUACUAAAAUAAAUAUUCGAUAAAUCUAAAUGGGGUAUUUGAAGUUUUUUUGUAUAUAAUUUAACAAAAUAUUAACGAAUAAGCCGAUGAAAAAAUAAAAAUGAAAUCACAUGGUACUAACUUGAUACACUUUAAACCACAUGAUACUAAAGUUAGAAAGUGCGAAAUCAUAGGAGUGGUACUUGAAGUUUACCCAAAAAAUAAAUUUAGAAUCAAAAGUGAUUUGUCACUCGUUUAGAGCUUUUAAUACUUUUUUUAAGGGUUAAUUAUCUAUCGCUAACCCUAACCCUAACCCUAACCCUAACCCUAACUUUGCUUUUGUUUUCUCCUAAGAGGUGUUUGGCCAAGAUUUUUAAAAAUAAGGAAAAACUUCAAAUACCAUCCCUAGCAUUUUUUUAUUUUAUUAUUCUGUGAUUUAAAGUAUAUCAAUUUGAUGCUCAGUGGUUUAAUUUUUUUCUUUUUUUAUUAUUAACUUUAUUAAUUUUUUUUGUUAAAUCAGUGACAAUGUUAAAAUUAAAGAAUACUAAAGUGAAUAUUCGAUAAAUCUAAAUGGGGUAUUUGAAGUUUUUUUUGUAUAUAAUUUAAUAAAAUAUUAAUGAAUAAGCCAAUGAAAAGAUAAAAAUGAAAGCACAGGAUACUAACUUAAUAUACUUUAAACCAUAUGAUACUAAAGUGAGAAAGUGCGAAACCACGGGACGGUACUUGAAGUUUACCCAAAAAAUAAAUUUAGAAUCAAAAGUGAUUUGUCAUUCGAUAGAGCUUUUAAUACUUUUUUUAAGGGUUAAUUAUCUACCGCUUCCCAUAAACACACCGAAUAACAGGUAUGUUCCUACAUAAAUAAUGUUUAAUUUUUUAUUUUUAUUUUUAUAAAAAUUCUAAUAUUUUUAAAUAUACUCGUCUAUUAAGAUCUGUUAGAAAAAUAUAGUUAAUCAUAAGUAAAAUAUUUAACUCUAGUUAAUGAAUGAGUUAAAUGAUCUUUUUACCCCUCUAUAUUAUUGGAUAAAAUAUUUUUUGGGAAGCACAUUUUUGUAUAAUUCUAACCGUUGAGACUUUUGGCGAGAUAUAUAUUUGUAAGGAUAAAAAUGUCAUUUCACUUAUCUACUGUUAAAAAAUAAACAGUGCUCUAACGGUAACAAAGCAGAGGAUAAAUAUGAAUAUCACUGGACUUUCGUAGAUAUAAAAAUAAAAAGUUGAACUUUGAAAGGAUAUAUUUGUUAUUUAAUAUAUUACAGGGAGCUGUAUGUAAUUAACUCUUUUUUUAAAGAAAAAUACUUCUUGUACACCCCAACAUCUUACACCAGCAAUUCUACUAUUGUUAAAAACCGAAUUGAUUUUUAGUAAAAUUUUAAAAAUUGAUUGACAAGAAUAAUUUUAGGAUAGAGUGGGUGUAAAAUAUACACCCCAUUUUAGAAGAUACGUGUAGCAUUUUUAAAAGUUUUUUUUUUUAAGGUCGGAAAUUGGAAACAAUUAAAACAUACUUCUUAAAAUCUAUUUUUUUUAUUUUGAUUUCAAAUAUUAAACUUAAAUUUAAAUUUAAUAUUCAAAUUAUAAAUUUAAAUUUAAAUUUUAAAUCACAAAUUUUCUAAUGUUAGGUCAUGUUCACCUAAACUUUUUCAAGGAACAGCGGGAUGUACAUCUUACAUCUUUUUCAUUUAAGAAAUAUCAUUCUUUACUCAUCAUGUACAAAUUUUUUUAACCAAAAUUCUAUGGAAUUUUUGUGAACCAUAUGAUCGGGAGUAUAUGAUCAACACUCCUCAUUUGUAGUGUACGAAUAGAAUUUUCCUUUCCAUACAACUUUUAAUUUAUUAUAGUUUCUGGCUCAAAUUUUUAAAUUGUAUUAAAUCCUAAGAUGCAAUUAAGUUAACCACCACAUUAGUGGAACAUCAUGAUUUAACCAAUUAGAUUUUAAUAUUGACCCCUAAACUUUUUUUUAUUUGAUAUACACCAUCUCAACUUAUUAGAAGUUUGAUAUACAAUUUUUGCUUGUCAAUAACAAAAAAAUUGUUAAAAUCAAAAGCUAGUAGAAUGCAGAGCCAAAAAAUUAGGUUUGCAGCUUAAUAUUGAUCAAUAUAUUUUAAAUAAUAAACAAACACAAAACCAAUAAACUAAUAUACUACAAAUUAGAAAACAGAACAAUAUGGAAAUAUAUUAGAAUUUAACAACAAUUACAACUUACAAAGUCAAUAACCCUUCAUUCUUCUAAAAUAUUACACUUAUUUAUCGUCUUACUAAACCCUAAAAUUGCUAAGAAAAGAGUUUAAAUCAAAGUUUGAGUGAGUAGAGGGGUGAAAAUAAAAUAAAAUAAAAUAAAAGUACAGAAUUUAUACAAACUAUUAACCAUUUUAAAUCGACUACCAACCUUUCAAAAUUUUGAUUUUAGCAUCCAACCUUUCAACUAGUUGUUUAUACACAUUGUAUAAUUUUUGUAAUAUAUUAUAUUAUUUAUACAUGAUAUAUUAUAUUAUUCGCAAUAUAGUAUACAAUUGUGUAACAGUAUAUAAAUUGUAUUGCAUUAUUUAAUAUAAAUAUUGAAAUAUUUACACAAAUAUUGCACUAUUUGGAAGAAAAUAUUGUAAAAUUUGAGUAAACAUUGCACUCUUUCAUCUUACUAAUUAUAUUAUAUUUUAUAUCUUAUUUUUAUUUUGUCUUCAACGAAAAUUUUCGUCUCUCCAGAAAAGUACAUGUAAUUAUAAUUUAAUAUUUUUUUUCAAAAAAUUUGACAUUUUAUUUAAUAUACAAUAAAAUAUAAUUUAUAAAUAAGAAAGAGUACAAUAUAUUCAUCUAAAUGAUACAAUAUUCUCUUCUAAAAUCCAAUAUUUAUAUAAAUAAAUACUAGUUAAGGGACCCGCGCGAUGUUGUGGGUAGUUAUUUUAAAAUUUAAUUUUGAAAAUUAGUUAUAAAAAUUAAUUUCAGAAUAAUUAUAAAAUAUUACAGACAAAUUUCAGAAUAAUUAUGAAAUAUUACGGACAAAUUACGAAAUAAUUUUAAAUAAAUAUAGCUACCUUUCGUAAUAUAGAAAAUAUAAAGAGCUCUCUCAACAAUAAGAUAUUUUGAAAUAGUUCUUCAACUUUAUUAAAUAUUUUCUCAUUUUGUUCUCUUUUGUUUGAUUUGAUAUUACUAAUUUUGUAAGGUUAUCUAUAAUAUUUCUAAUAUUUUCAGGUAUACGAAUGAAAUUAUCCCAUACUAAUUAUUCCAAAUAUGACCGCAUGUCUAAGGAGUUGAGAAAUAAUAAAUGGUGCAAUAAGUAUAUCAAAAAUUUUUAGUAGGCACGGUAGUUAGCAGAAUAAUUUUUAGUAGGUAUCGUAGUCCUCCAGUAGUUAGUGAAUGAUAAGAGAAAUCAUUGCUUGUAAUUCUCGCAAUUAACUUUCGUCAAAUAUAAAAUUAACUUAAGCUGCAUCAAUCUUUUUUUUUAUUUUUUAGUGUACAAUUUAUAUGUGAAUGCUCAAUAUUAUAAAAUUAACAUUUAUAUCUAAUACCAAUAGUCUAAAUUAUUUAACAUUUAUUUAUAUAUUUUAUAUUUUAUAAAAAUAAUUAGUAAAUUAUAUAAUAAAUUAUUAUAAUAAUAAUAUAUCUAUAUAAANUAAAAAUUACGCUUCUCAAUGAAAAGGUAUCUGAAAUAAUGACCGUCAAUUGUACUUUUCAAGAUAUUUAAAGCGUAACUUUUUUAUGCAUAUUGGAAGAUGAAUAGUUUGGUUAUUUUUUAAAAAAGCGGGUCAAAUCUAUAAAAUUUUAGAAAGUGGAAUACAUAAAGCCCAUUUAUUAAUUAGAUUUUUUGGAGAUCAAUUUGCAAUUUCAUAUUGAAAAAGUAAGAAAGAGAGGUAUAAAUUAAAGGAAAAACUUCAAAUACCACUCUGUGGCUUCGCACUUUUUCACUUUAGUACCUUAUGGUUUAAAGUGUAUCAAUUUAGUACUCUGUGGUUUCGCAUUUUCUCACUUUAGUACUCUGUGGUUUAAAGUGCAUUAAUUUAGUACCCUGUGGUUUCAUUUUUCUCUUUUCGUCAGCUACUGUAGUGUCCCUGGUGUUUGGUUGCUUGUGAGAUUUCAGCAUCUGAGGCUUGUCGACAUAUCUGGAGAGUAUCGGGACAAGUCGGAAUUGUUUUGCACAAAAUAGACGCAAAACGGACUCAAUGCGAUGCGAGAGUGGAGUUGUAAGAACUGAGAUUUUUGACCGUGUAACUAAACUCUCUGUUGACGAUGUUUAUGUGUGUAAUUUAAUUACAUAAGCACUCGUCAAGCUUCAGGAGAAACUGAGCUAAAACGGAGAAGUUACGCGAUUAUUAGUUUUCACUUAAGUGAAUAGUAACUCCGGUUUUCCGGAGAAGCCACGGAGUAGAGUUGGCUUCUGGUGCGUAUCGGACUCUGUUCAUAUCAGUCCAAUAGCUCGUUUCGACCGGUUCAGCUAUUCUGGAACUACUGGCGCUGACGGAUUUUAAGUUUGAUGCACGAAUUUCGAGAAAAUCCGAAAAUACAUGUUUUAUAUGUAUUUAUGUGUUAUUCGUUCUAUUGGAAAGAAAGUUUGGAUUCUGUCGUGAAUCCGUGGUCGAUCGUGGUGAAACAAAUUGUAGCUUUGUUGUCUCCGAGGUGCUGAUCGCACUGGUGCAAUCCGUUCGCAAAUCUGACGGACGGAUCUGCGGAGAUCGCACGUUGAUCGAGGAGAGGUCGGUGUUGGAAAAUGGGUAAUUUCGCAAAAGAUGCGACAUUUUAUGUACCGUUUUGCGUGGGAUCGCACGUGGAGGGGUAUUCUCGCUUUUUUACACGCACUGUGGAGGGCUCGCUAUGAAAUUCUAAGUUUUGGUGGACUUUCUUGCAAUUUUGCGCCUUACUUAUAGUGUUUUCUAGGGUUUUUCUUGAGAUCCGAGCCCUAGAUCAUCCCUAGUUAACCCUAACCGCACCCCAGCCACGUUCUUGCCUCCCUCUGACCUAGCCGCACGACUCCCGGCCGCCGCCGACUUAUCUCCGGCCAUGCACUACCACCCCAGCCUUUUCUUUCCCUCUCCCUCUCUUGUUCCCACAUUCCUUCUCCAGCGGCUUGGACCCGAGCAAGGGGAGGACUCAAAACCUCCUCCCUCGGCCGCCUCCACCCUCCCUCGACCGCAGGCACGCAGCCGCCGCCGCCCGAGCCGCCCGGAGCGCCGCCGCAGCCGCUCCAGCCAGCAGCAGCCGCCCCAGCCCGAGCCCAGGCCGAGGCAAGCCUGCGGCCUUUUCUCUGCACCGCCGCCAUCGUGACCACCCCGGCUGACUCCCCGGAGCCCUGGCAUCCCUCCUAGCCGACUGUCGCCGCCCCUGCGGGCUGCUGCCGCCGCUGCGGCCAUCCUGCAGCUGCCCCAGGUCUGCUCGGGCCGAGCAGACCUGGUAGCUCCACCCUCACGCCGCAGCCCCUCUUUCCAUCCUUGCGGCCUCCGUCUCGACCUCCGGCACCCCCUACCCCCGUCCGGAAAGGUCGCCACCGCCGCCGCGCGCCGUGGGCGCCGCCACCCCGGUCUCCUGACCGAGCCAAUCUCGGGUGGCCGCGCCCGAGCCGCGGGUUGCCGCCGCCCUUGCCGGCUGCCUCCCUCCUCAUCCUCCGACCUCGAGCGACCCCUCGCCGUCGGCCCGAGGUGCCCCGGCCACUGCCGAGAGCUGCGUGCCACCCUGGACCCGAGCCGAACCUAGUGCGGGCUGGGUUGGUUCCACCGUUGCCGCCGCCGCUCCUCGUCGCCACCUGAGGUGAGCACCACGUUCCUCACCUCUCCCGCACCCAUCCCUGGCCCCCGUGCGCGCCUCCAUGCCGCCGGAAGCCGGCCGGAGCAAGCUUGCUCCGGCCAAGCCCGAAAUAGGGUUUUUAGGGAGUGGGUUGCCGUUUUGUGCUUUCUAGGGCUUCUCGACCCCUACGGAAGGGAGCACGGUGAUCGUGGCAAAUUGCUGAUCAUCGUGCUCACCUUAGAUUCUGUUGGGGAGACUCCGUUCUGCUGUUUUCGCUGUGCCGACCCUGUGGAGCCUAUUUGGCUGCUGUUUUGGGUUUGCGCGCGCUUAUCCGGCGAUCCGAGGCUGUCCUGAUGCCUCCGGAGGUGAGCACGGUGAUCGUUGGUCUGUGCCGAUCACAUUGCUCACCUCACUUUGGAUCAACAGUGUCCGGUCAGCCCUGUUUGGCGCGAUCUUCCCCGACUGCGCGCUGUUCGCAGAACUUCGGGUUGCUCCCUCGCUUCCCACAGUGACCUGUUGCACUCCAGACCGUGAGCACGGCCUCCGGCACGUCGAGACCUGUCAAUACGUGUCUCGGCGGAACUUAGAGGUCCUCAGUUUGUGAGAACGAGUCAUAGGAGUCGCCCGAUUUACAUAAAAUGAUGGAUUUUAUGUAAACAUAAGGGCUUUUGUGCAAUUGUACGCCUUGUGGCUACUGUGGGCAGCGUGUAAGAGUGUGUUUGACCUCUGGACUGAUUGUCCAUGAUCCUGUAGCUUUCGCGGAAAUCGAAAGGUCGAUUUCGGUGCGUUUUUCGACGAAAUUCGUCGAAGGAACGUGAUUUCGGUUCGGAUUCUUUCCGACGGUGUUUUGUUGCUCUGUGUUUUGUCGCUGAGCCUUGUCGGCUGGUCACCAUCAUUAUUUUGUAGGUUCGAUGAUGAUAGGUGAGCGACGGAGGGUUCCGGUGUCGAAAUAGACACUUUCGGGAACCCGGGUUCGUACAAAUAUCCGGCGAUAAUUGUGUAGGGGUGUUAUCUUGUGUUUGCUGCCAAAACAUCCAAAUUGGAGUGUUUUGGGGCAGCAGGUGACUCGUGACACGAGUCGGUGAGUUUCGGGACACUUAAUGGGUCCCGACGGCGUCCCGGUGUGGUUUUCGGGACUUCCGGCGAGUUACGGUAAUCGGUAUUGGGAAACCGAUCUUCGUGGAAUCGUUUGUGGGGUUGUGGAUACUGUGAUUAUUAGUUGUGGGUUAGAUACUAACCCGGUGGAUCCUCUAUAGGUCCUGUCGACUUUCUUUUGCAGUCAGGAGACAGACGCGACAUCCGUACAGGUGGGUACUUCGAUCCGACGUCGGUACAGUGGUGCACGCUCGGUGAUAUUCUUCUAUCCUUGUUCUCCUGUUAUUAUUAUUGCGUAGUGUAGUUUAUUGAGCAUCGCACCCCUAUUGUCUACAUCUUACUCUACUCAUUGUUUUCAUGAUUAGUAUCCUGAGUAGGAGUAGAGUAGUUAUACCGUAUUUUCUUGUUACUCUACUUGCCUGUUCUACAUAUCUUGGGUCAUGUUUAUAGUAGAGCGGUUCCGUGACUAUCUAUGAGAUCUGUGACCUAGGCGGUCGAUUCUAGUAUCCCAUACUUGUGACUUAUUCGGUGAGUUUCUUGACUUUUGUUGUCCGAUGACCUUUGAGGUCGGUGUACCCUGAGGGGUAGGAUUGUCGGCUAAGGCCGACGGUAGUUCUAGAUUAUAUACUCAGAUGACUUGUUGAUCGAUUCUUGCAUAUAUACAGUAGUUGAUCUAUUGAUCAGUAUCUACAUACUUUUGGUAGGGUGUUGAGUUGUUCCAUCCUAGUUGACCUGAGUGGUCGGUUCUUGUGCUUCUUUACAGUGAUGACCUAUGCGGUCGAUAGGCCCUGGGGGGCAGGAUUGUCGGCUGGUUGCCGACGGUUGAUCAUUGACCAUAUUGCAUUGAUCGCCCGAUACUCGUCGCAUUUCACGAACACUGGCGGUCUAAUCCACCGCAAGGAGUGUUCUUUUCCGGAAAAGUGGUUGAAUGGUGACAACCCGUGAGCCCUAGAGGGGUUAUAUGCAUGUUAGAGCGGCAGUGAUACUGUCGGGAGGUGUUGCGGUGCGGACCUCCAGGGCAUUGGCUUGAGGUCUGCGGUGCUGACCAAGAGAGCAUUGGUUUCAGAUUGGGUACUUUUGGACUGAUUGUCCCAUUGACGCAUAUGUUUAUAGUAGCAGUCGUUGCAUGCAUACUCACAGAUCUUACUUUAUAGUUAUCUUGCUACUAUAGUAGAUACUCGUGUAUGCUUCCUGUUCCAGUUACAGUAGCGGUAGCCGUUUAUUCAGUAUAGUUCUUACUUCCUUUCAGUUUAUCGCUAUUGUAUAUCUACUCAUUACCUUGUUUAUUUCCACUGACCCAUGUUGUUGUUUAGUUCUUCCUGAUCCGGUGAGUACUCCUCGCCUUCAUCGGCUUGCGGUACCUACUGGGAGGGGAGACAUGUUUACAUGUUCUCACCUCCCCCACCAUUUUUUCAGGUAUCGCGGGCGGUAAAUAGUGGGACGAGACGUGAGGUACGUGUGUAGCGGUCGAUAGAGCUUCCGACCCAGGUUAUUUCGGUAUAGUUAUUACCCUUAUUGUUUCAGUUGUUAUAGCUUAGAUAGUUAUAUGGUUCAGUAUUUUUAUUACAUUUGAAAAUAUGAAUUUUCGUAAAUGUAAUAAACGGAUUUCUGGAUUUUGUAAAAUAAAAGGUUUUCUACCGCUCGUGGUAGCGUUUUUAAAGAAUAAAGGUUUCCGUGUAGGAAACAGUUUUCAAAAGAUUUUCUGUGGAUUUUGCAUCCUAGUAUUUCAAAACCUGUUUCUGUGGUUGGAAACAUUUUAACUGAUAGAUGUGGAUUUAUGUUUAAAUAUCGAAUAUAUAAAUGUGAACCUGUGAUGUGAAUGGUGUAUGAACAUAUAAUUGUUGGUUAUUUGUAUGUUCAUUUGGUCGUGGUUGUACCUGGGUUACUUCUUAUACUUGUGUGACGCCGUGCAAAUACAGGGGAGACUCUGUCCGUGUGAACAGUGGAUUUCCUGUGUUUGUGGCGGAUCUGGCAUACUCUGGGGUCAGGCUUUCAAAAAGAAAAAAAAAAAUUUUUAGAUGCUUUUUCCGCUGUGUUCAAAUAAAAAGGGACCCCGGGGCGUGACAGGAGUUCUGACAUUGAAAUUCGCAAAGUGCAGGAUUUCAGUAUUGAGUAUCAGUACCAGAGAAAAGUACCGGUACCCCAGUGGAAUUACAUAACAGAAUGCUCUCGGGUUUGCGUGAGAUGAUGCUGAGUACCGGUAUUGACUUAUCGAGUACUGGUACUGAGCCCGGAUAUCGAUAUUGCAUCGGACUGGUACUGGUACCCAGUGUGCGAGGCUGCGGGCUGAAGGCCUGAGUACCGGUAUUCAAGUGGAGUACUAGUAUUCCAGCUGGAUUUUUGAGUAGGUAAGGAGUAGUUUGAUCAUUUGAUGUGUCGAUAACAUCAACCUUAUCCUCAACCCUUAUAUAGGUGUAGAGAGCUCAGAAAGGAGGACUUUUGUUCUACUCUUUCUCUCUCUCUAAUUUUGGACGUCGCUCGUAGUGGAGAUUGCGGCUCGAGCUCGGGUGGUUUUCGACGUCGAUCCUAAGGGCCGUUCGAGCGUGUGUGCGUCGCGGUUACGCCGUUGGAAGUCGGGCAAGUGCGUGGAUUCUCUCCUUUCGACUUCUUGCCGUUGUUGGACGAGCUUCUUAAGAUGGGUUGAAGUUUACCGAAAUAGUCGGAUUUCCUCCUAAGCCGAGAUUUUGUCAGCAUGUGUAUUUCAUGUAUAGUAUCAUGUUAGUAGCUCAAUUCACCGAUUUGCAUAGUUUUUAUGAAAUCUGAGUUGGAGCUUUAAAUUUUAGAUUCGUUUUACAUAUUAGACUUGAAAUUAACUUAGGAGAAAAUGAUUGAAUCCUACACUAUGAUUUCUGAAAAGUUAUCAGAUUUAGUUUUAGGAGCUGUGGUUCUUUUGUAUCAUCGCUGUUAGGAUGCAGUGGAUACCCGGAUUAGUGUAGGAUGAGUUUACGCUCGUGCUGAAAUUCUGAGUUUGUUUUACAGUAGGGUGUAGACCGUUUUGUACUGUCGGGUACCGUCGCGGUUGACAGUGGACCCAGAUUUCUAUAUCUUGUAUCAGAUUGUGCCAAGGGCACGUGAGUUUUGGUUGUUAGACUAGUUAGACCCAGUUGCAUUGACUAUAGUCUGUGAGAGCCUGAUUGAGUUCGGUAGAGACACUUACAUACUCGGUUGGGUCGCGCCCACGAGUGCCGCUCCGGAGUGAGACUUUUACUUGCGUUGAUGUCGCAGUCGUCCUGUUUUGGACCGUUUACUUAGACCGACUAUCCCUGUGGGUGGUGUACGGUGUAGCAGGGUUACAGACAGGGUGGGUCCGUUUGGGCAGCCCUAGUGAGAUUGGAUCAGUGUGAUGCAUUGUCAGAUCUACAGAUAGCUUGUAUGGGCUAGCAAUAGUAUAGUGGCAUAUAGCUGUAGUUUUCCUUCCGGCUUUCUUUACUAUCAUUUUCCCAUAUAUCUGUAAACUUAGUGGGUGAGCCGUUGAGGUCGGUGACGGUACCUACUGAGAACUACUUAUUUUAUAGUAAUUCUCACACCCAGUUGUUGACCCCUUUUUGCAGAGCCUUCGGCCGCGGCUGCUGUUGUUAUGGAUUCCGAUCGAGGCAAGGGAGUCGCUAGUUAGAGCCACCUCUUCCCUGGUUGCCAGCUAGAGGAGCACCUAUCCAGAGGUAGUUUUGGGUUUCCUUUUCACAUACUGUGAUGUUGUCGUUGUACUCGCUGAUGCGAGUUGGGUUGUAGACAUUUUGUAUGUACAGGAACCCCUCGAGGUUUUUUAUAUAUAUAUGUUCAUUUUCGUUUAGCAGCUCUAUACUACUGGUUGUAGUUAUGUUGUGAUUACAGGUAUAGCUAUCGCUUCGUAUGCACGAAAUAUUCCUGUGUAUACAGCAAGUCUAUUGGCGUGCCUGGAAAAACAUGGUAAUCCGGGGCGUCCCAGCUACUCUGUUAAUAUUUCAUUAAAUUAUAUACAAAAAACUUCAAAUACCCUACCUAGGUUUAUCGAAUAUUUAUUUUAUUACUCUUUAGUUUUAAUUUUGUCACCAAUUUUUUCUCAUCCGUCAAUAUUUCAUUAAAUUAUAUACAAAAAACUUCAGGUACCCUACCUAGGUUUAUCGAAUAUUCACUUUAGUACCCUUUAAUUUUAACUUUGUCGCUGAUUUAACGAAAAAAUUAGUAAAAUGGAUAAUAAAAAGAGAAAAAAUGAAACCAAGGGAUACUAAUUUGAUAUACUUUAAACCACACGGUACUAAAGUGAGAAAGUGCGAAACCACAGGGACUAACCAUAGGAUACUAAUUUGAUAUGCUUUAAGAGUCGUGCUACCCAUACACCCCAUAUUGAGUUGUAGAUCCUACAACUCUUUGAUCCAACGGGUGAUAUAAACUUGGUUUAAAAAAAAAAAAAACAGUGUUAACCUCACUCCCACAUUUUAGCCCAUCACCUUUUCCCUCUUUUUCCCUAAUUUUUGGCGCCAGCGAGCUAAAGAGAGAGAGAGGCGAGCGCGCCAGCGACUGAGAGAGAGAGGCGAGCGAGCGAGCCUGCGACCUAAAGAGAGAGAGGCGAGCGAGCGAGCGACCGAGAGAGAGAGGAGAGCUCGAGCAGGAGCGGGAGCAGGGCGCGAGAGAGAGCGAGGGCAGGGCGCGAGAGGGAGCGAGAGGAGUUGUGCUGUGCUAGAAACAGGGAGAACGAGAGGAAGAGAAAGAAGCGCGAAGGCGGAUUCUGUGAUCAAAUUGGACGCGGCAAGUACGGAGGCGACAAUCGAGGAUGCGGCAAAAUUGAACGACGUAGUUUACCCCAAGCUCAACGAUUCGUACACUGCCACAUAUAUAACCAGGUAUGAGAUGUUUAAUUUUUUAGUAAAUUAUUUAUUUUUAAUUGUGGUGAAUUAUUUGAUUAAUUUCAUCACUGAUUUGAUGUAUGAUCUAUAUGUUAAUAGAUAAUAUAUUUUUAGGACAUAGUAGAAUCUUUAGAUGUCUAAAUUUUGACAAAUAAUUUUCCUGGUCACUAUUAUUCUAAUUUAGUAUUCUAACUCUAUAUAAUGUCUUACAGGUGAGCAAUUUACUUAAAUUUGUUUAGUUGAGUGAUUAUUUGGAUUUAAUAUUUUUGAGAUGGAUGAAGAAAGAAACAGUGAGGUUAGGGAUGUAAAUAUAUCGGCAUCAGAAAUUGGACUGACUUUUAUCAAUUUUGAUGCCGUUUUUAAUUUCUAUAAGCAUUAUGCACAAGAAAUAGAAUUUGCAGUUGUAAAGAGGUCAACAAAAAUGACCGAUGGCAAGGCUACAUAUGUAAUAAUCGCAUGCUCUCGUCAUGGAAAAACACGAGCUGAAUGUUUCGGCUCGUGAGCCAGCUCGUGAGCCAGCUCGUCUUCGGCUCGUUAAUAAACGAGCCAAACACGAGCUGAAUGUUUCGGCUCGAUACUUUAACGAGCCAGCUCGCCGAACACGAGCCGACCCCAGCUCGCUCGUGUUCGGCUCGUUUACACUCCUAAGUGUAACAUUGUGUAAUUGAUCCUAAAUAUUGUAGGUCGAGUUUCAAAGCAUGUACAGAAAAUCGCACUCCAAGUUAUUAAGUACGGGCCGAAAAUGUGCUUUGCGUACAAGUGUAAAUCAAUUACGAGUGAACGUGGUUUCAAAAACUACAAUCUCUGAUACCGGUGACAGCGACGACAAUUUUGUUGAUCCACCUCCAAAGAACAGUGUAAUAUUUCGAACGAAGAGAACUGUGCAUAGUGAACCUCGACUGAUUAGGACAUAUAUUAGUUGUGAUAGUGAUGAUAAUUUUGUUGAUUCUCCACCUACAAUAGUAUAUAUUAGAUAAUAAGCUCCGCUAUUGAUGUUAUGUACAUAUAACUCUGGCAUUUAAAGUUUUUAAAUUAUUUUACGGUAUGUGCCAGAUUUAUAAUCAAUAUUUGUACUAACUAUCUGUCGUAAUAUUGCGUCAGUUUGUAUGCAUUUCUUAUUUUUAUAAUAUUACAA